GUGUGUAUCUGUCCGCUGACCUUCCUUUUUUUUCUUUCCCAGGACUGCCCUGCCAAAACUAGACCAUCAUCUCCUCUGUGGAUGUCAUACAAGCUGUGAGCACUGGUCUCUCCCUUUCUGCCGUUGUCUCCCCCAACCCAGACCCUCCA